UACGUAGGGUGCGAGCGUUGUCCGGAAUUACUGGGCGUAAAGAGCUCGUAGGUGGUUUGUCGCGUUGUUCGUGAAAACCUGAGGCUUAACCUUGGGCGUGCGGGCGAUACGGGCAGACUGGAGUACUGCAGGGGAGACUGGAAUUCCUGGUGUAGCGGUGGAAUGCGCAGAUAUCAGGAAGAACACCCGUGGCGAAAGCGGCUCUCUGGAACGGUACUGACGCUGAGACGCGAAAGCGUGGGAGCGAACAGG
rnacentral:rRNA from 1 species